rnacentral:rRNA from 1 species
GAUGAACGCUAGCGGCAGGCCCAAUACAUGCAAGUCGAGGGAGAAUGUUGGAUUCGUCUGACAUGAAACCGGCGCACGGGUGCGUAACACGUAUGCAACCUACCUUUAACUGGGGUAUAGCUCAGAGAAAUCUGAAUUAAUCCCCCAUAAGACUACGACAUGGCAUCAUGAUGUAGUUAAAGCUCCGGCGGUUAAGGAUGGGCAUGCGGUACAUUAGCUAGUUGGUGAGGUAAUGGCUCACCAAGGCUACGAUGUAUAGGGGGUCUGAGAGGAUGAUCCCCCACACUGGUACUGUGACACGGACCAGACUCCUACGGGAGGCGGGAGUAGGGAAUAUUGGUCAAUGGACGCAAGUCUGUACCAGCCAUGCCGCGUGAAGGAUGAAGGCCCUAUGGGUCGUAAACUUCUUUUAUUAGGGAAGAAAAAACGGGAUGCGUCCUGUACUGACGGUACUUAAUGAAUAAGGAUCGGCUAACUUCGUGCCAGCAGCCGCCGUAA